rnacentral:rRNA from 1 species
ACGAACGCUGGCGGCAUGCCUAACACAUGCAAGUCGAACGAACACUUCGGGGUUAGUGGCGCACGGGUGCGUAACGCGUGGGAAUCUGCCCUUGGGUUCGGGAUAACAGUUAGAAAUGACUGCUAAUACCGGAUGAUGACUUAAGUCCAAAGAUUUAUCGCCCAAGGAUGAGCCCGCGUAGGAUUAGCUUGUUGGUGAGGUAAAAGCUCACCAAGGCGACGAUCCUUAGCUGGUCUGAGAGGAUGAUCAGCCACACUGGGACUGAGACACGGCCCAGACUCCUACGGGAGGCAGCAGUGGGGAAUAUUGGACAAUGGGCGCAAGCCUGAUCCAGCAAUGCCGCGUGAGUGAUGAAGGCCUUAGGGUUGUAAAGCUCUUUUACCCGAGAUGAUAAUGACAGUAUCGGGAGAAUAAGCUCCGGCUAACUCCGU